UCGACUACUUAAUGGACAAGAAGUUGCAGUAAAAAGGCUCUCGAGUCAGUCAGGGCAAGGACUCAAAGAGUUUAAAAAUGAGAUGAUGCUUAUAGCAAAACUCCAACACAGACACCUUGUCAGACUCUUCGGUUGCUGUGUAGAACAAGGCGAAAACAUUUUAAUCUAUGAGUACAUGCCUAACAAAAGCUUGGAUGUUUUCCUUUUCAGUAUGUGAUUUAUCAUUCACAAGAUUAAGUAUUUCCACUACUUUGCAGUGCUCUGUCGAAUUUUAUCAUCUCCAUUUUUUUAACUUGUUAUCAUUUACGCUGAUCAGUAUUCAUUUUGGCAUUGCAACAGAUCCAAAGAAAAAGCGCCUGCUAGGUUGGCAAGCACGUGUUAGAAUUAUUGAAGGAAUUGCCCAAGGACUAUUAUAUCUUCAUCGGUAUUCUAGACUGAGAAUUAUUCACAGAGAUCUUAAGGCAAGUAAUAUUCUCUUAGAUAGUGACAUGAACCCCAAAAUAUCAGAUUUUGGCAUGGCAAGAAUAUCUGGUGAUGAUGAGUUGCAGGGAAAUACUAAACGGAUUGCUGGAACUUAGUAAGUAAAACUCCAUUCCUGAAAAUGAUGUUUGCUUGUCCUGUUUUCUUAGAUCACUCAAUAUUAAUUGAAACAAUGGAAAUUUAGUGGUUACAUGUCACCUGAGUAUGCCCUAGAAGGCCUGUACUCCAUUAAAUCAGAUGUGUUUAGCUUUGGAGUAUUAAUGUUGGAAACAUUGAGUAGCAAGAAGAACACUGGCGUCUACAAUAGUGAUUCCUUUAACCUUCUUGGAUAUGUAAGUGACAAAUUAUUUCACCAUUGUUCCAUCUUUAAUGAGUAAAAUAUAAAUUGGAAAUGUCAAAAAUUGCUCCUGUAAAUUAAACUAAUAUUGAUCAUGGACAUUUCUUUUCAGGCUUGGGGUCUAUGGAAAGAUGACAGAGCUCAUGAAUUGAUGGAUCCAGUAAUAAAGCAAGAUGAAGUAUCAUUGCCAAUGCUGAUUAGAUACAUAAACGUGGCUCUUCUCUGCGUUCAAGAGAAUGCAGCUGAUAGACCAAUCAUGUCGGAUGUUAUCUCGAUGAUUGAGAGUGAGCAUCUUAAUUUACCUUCUCCCAAAGAACCUGCUUUUACAAACAGUAAAAACAUGAAUAAUUCAUCUCAUUCCAGUAGUGGAACGUCCCAGUUUCAUUCUGUGAAUGAUGUAACUGUUUCAUUAAUCUAUCCUCGAUAGUCAUCUAUCUGGGCAGCAUCGAUUAUUUUGCUUCUUUGUUUGAUUUCUCUAUUUUCUCCAGUUUUAAACUUUUCCGGUGGUACUUCUUCCUUCUUUUUACAUAUUUCGACGAAGGAGGAGAAAACACAAAGAGAAAGGUAAAUUUUUUCCCUUCAUAUCACUCGGUGAUAUUUUCAUAUGAUAAGGCAUGUGAUAAAGCAUGUAUAAUUACAAUUUUAAAAGUUGUUAGUCAUACCGAAACAGAGAAUAUGGAAGCAAACUGGGAUCUGUUAGCAUUUGACAUAAAUAUGAGCAUUACAACAAGAACAAAUGAACUCUGUGAAGCAGAUGGAGAAGGAAAUGAUAAGAGCAAGGAUUCUUGGUUGCCAUUAUUCAGCUUGGCCAGUGUAUCUGCUGCUACAGAAAACUUUUCUACGCAAUGUAAGCUUGGAGAAGGUGGCUUUGGCCCUGUUUACAAGGUAGAAUUGUUGCUACCUCAAAUGUCCUUAAUGAAGUGCUGCUGGUGUAAAACAUUAACAAAAUAAAAAAAAAUGCAGGGUCGACUACUUAAUGGACAAGAAGUUGCCGUUAAAAUGAGAUAAUGAUUAUAGCAAAACUCCAUUACAGACACCUUGUCAGACUCUUUGGUUGCUGUAUAGAACAAGGCGAAAACAUUUUAAUCUAUGAGUACAUGCCUAACAAAAGCUUGGAUGUUUUCCUUUUCUGUAUGUGAUUUAUCAUUCACAAGAUUUAAGUAUUUCCACUACUUUCCAGUGCUCUGUCGAAUUUUAUCAUCUCCAUUUUUUUAACUUGUUAUCAUUUACGCUGAUCAGUAUUCAUUUUGGCAUUGCAACA
rnacentral:lncRNA from 1 species